GAUGAAGAACGUAGCGAAAUGCGAUAAGUAAUGUGAAUUGCAGAAUUCAGUGAAUCAUCGAAUCUUUGAACGCACCUUGCGCCCUUUGGCCAUUCCGAAGGGCAUGCCUGUUUGAGUAUCAUGAACACCUCAACUCUUCAUGGUUUUCCAUGAUGAGCUUGGACUUUGGGGGUCUUGCUGGCCUGUGGGUCGGCUCCUCUCAAAUGAAUCAGCUUGCCGGUUUUUGGUGGGCAUCACAGGUGUGAUAACUAUCUACGCUUGUGGUUUUCCACCAGGGUAACCUUCAGCAGUGGAGGUUCACUGGAGCUUACAAAUGUCUCUCCUCUGUGAGGACAGCCCUUUGAAUGUUUGAUCUCAAAUCAGGUAGGACUACCCGCUGAACUUAAGCAUAUCAAUAAGCGGGA
rnacentral:misc_RNA from 1 species